rnacentral:rRNA from 1 species
GAUGAACGCUGGCGGCGUGCCUAAUACAUGCAAGUCGAGCGAACAGACGAGGAGCUUGCUCCUCUGACGUUAGCGGCGGACGGGUGAGUAACACGUGGAUAACCUACCUAUAAGACUGGGAUAACUUCGGGAAACCGGAGCUAAUACCGGAUAAUAUAUUGAACCGCAUGGUUCAAUAGUGAAAGACGGUUUUGCUGUCACUUAUAGAUGGAUCCGCGCCGCAUUAGCUAGUUGGUAAGGUAACGGCUUACCAAGGCGACGAUGCGUAGCCGACCUGAGAGGGUGAUCGGCCACACUGGAACUGAGACACGGUCCAGACUCCUACGGGAGGCAGCAGUAGGGAAUCUUCCGCAAUGGGCGAAAGCUUGACGGAGCAACGCCGCGUGAGUGAUGAAGGUCUUCGGAUCGUAAAACUCUGUUAUUAGGGAAGAACAAAUGUGUAAGUAACUAUGCACGUCUUGACGGUACCUAAUCAGAAAGCCACAGCUAACUACGUG